UACGAAGGUCCCAAGCGUUAUCCGGAUUUAUUGGGUUUAAAGGGUGCGUAGGCGGACUAUUAAGUCAGUGGUGAAAGCCCCAAGCCUAACUUGGGAACUGCCAUUGAUACUGAUGGUCUUGAGUACAUUUGAGGUGGGCGGAAUGUGUCAUGUAGCGGUGAAAUGCUUAGAUAUGACAACAGAACACCGAUUGCGAAGGCAGCUCACUAAACUGUAACUGACGCUGAGGCAACGAAAGCGUGGGGAGCAAACAGG
rnacentral:rRNA from 1 species